rnacentral:misc_RNA from 1 species
GUGCUCUUGAAAAACUGAAAGCUUGCCACAAAUACAUGUCCUACAAACCAAAAUUUCCUGCAGGUAAGAAAUUUUAACAGAAAAAUAGAAAAAGAGAGCGGCCACUUCAAAAACCACACUUGAUGCCCCCAUCAUAGUUACUUUGCAGAAACUACUGAGCAAUUACUUUUGAUUUUUCCUUCCACUCCUCACAGUACAGUAAACUGGAAUAUAGCAUUCUUCAGUUCUCACUUUUAUGCCUUUUCUUGGCUGGUGCUUUUGUUG